rnacentral:rRNA from 1 species
GAUGAACGCUGGCGGCGUGCCUAAUACAUGCAAGUCGAGCGAACGGACGAGAAUCUUGCUUCUCUGAUGUUAGCGGCGGACGGGUGAGUAACACGUGGAUAACCUACCUAUAAGACUGGGAUAACUUCGGGAAACCGGAGCUAAUACCGGAUAAUAUUUUGAACCGCAUGGUUCAAAAGUGAAAGACGGUCUUGCUGUCACUUAUAGAUGUAUCAGCGCUGCAUUAGCUAGUUGGUAAGGUAACGGCUUACCAAGGCAACGAUGCAUAGCCGACCUGAGAGGGUGAUCGGCCACACUGGAACUGAGACACGGUCCAGACUCCUACGGGAGGCAGCAGUAGGGAAUCUUCCGCAAUGGGCGAAAGCCUGACGGAGCAACGCCGCGUGAGUGAUGAAGGUCUUCGGAUCGUAAAACUCUGUUAUUAGGGAAGAACAUAUGUGUAAGUAACUGUGCACAUCUUGACGGUACCUAAUCAGAAAGCCACGGCUAACUACGUG